rfam:Ictidomys tridecemlineatus contig052593, whole genome shotgun sequence.
GGGGUUGUAGCUCAGUGGUAGGGUACUCGCCUUACACAUGUGGGGCACUGGGUUUGAUCCUCAGCACCACCU